AUUGAACGCUGGCGGCAUGCCUUACACAUGCAAGUCGAACGGUAACAGGUCUUCGGAUGCUGACGAGUGGCGAACGGGUGAGUAAUACAUCGGAACGUGCCCGAGAGUGGGGGAUAACGAGGCGAAAGCUUUGCUAAUACCGCAUACGAUCUCAGGAUGAAAGCAGGGGACCGCAAGGCCUUGCGCUCACGGAGCGGCCGAUGGCAGAUUAGGUAGUUGGUGGGAUAAAAGCUUACUAAGCCGACGAUCUGUAGCUGGUCUGAGAGGACGACCAGCCACACUGGGACUGAGACACGGCCCAGACUCCUACGGGAGGCAGCAGUGGGGAAUUUUGGACAAUGGGCGCAAGCCUGAUCCAGCCAUGCCGCGUGCAGGAUGAAGGCCUUCGGGUUGUAAACUGCUUUUGUACGGAACGAAAAGACUCCUUCUAAUAAAGGGGGUCCAUGACGGUACCGUAAGAAUAAGCACCGGCUAACUACGUGCCAGCAGCCGCAGUAAUAC
rnacentral:rRNA from 1 species